ACGAUCCUCACUGGAGAGAGGCCCCAGGUCGACGCUGCAAGUCAGCCGACGAGGGGGCCCACCGAAGGGGCAAGCCGUCUGCGCUGAGCAAGCGCCGCGGCCAAUCUCUCAGGUAAAGCGGACAGCGAGGGCAGC
rnacentral:ncRNA from 2 species